GACGAACGCUGGCGGCGUGCCUAAUACAUGCAAGUUGAGCGCUGAAGGUUGGUACUUGUACCAACUGGAUGAGCAGCGAACGGGUGAGUAACGCGUGGGGAAUCUGCCUUUGAGCGGGGGACAACAUUUGGAAACGAAUGCUAAUACCGCAUAAAAACUUUAAACACAAGUUUUAAGUUUGAAAGAUGCAAUUGCAUCACUCAAAGAUGAUCCCGCGUUGUAUUAGCUAGUUGGUGAGGUAAAGGCUCACCAAGGCGAUGAUACAUAGCCGACCUGAGAGGGUGAGCAGCCACAUUGGGACUGAGACACGGCCCAAACGCCUACGGGAGGCAGCAGUAGUGAAUCUUCGGCAAUAGACGAAAGUCUGAGCGAGCAACGCCGCGGGAGUGAAGAAGGUUGUCGGAUCGUAAAACUCUGUUGGUAGAGAAGAACGUUGGUGAGAGUGGAAAGCUCAUCAAGUGACGGUAACUACCCAGAAAGGGACGGCUAACUACGUG
rnacentral:rRNA from 1 species